GAAUCUUGGACAAUGGGCGAAAGCCUGAUCCAGCAUUGCCGCGUGCAGGAUGACGGCCUUCGGUUUUUAAACUGCUUUUGUACGGAACGAAAAGCUCUGGUUUAAUACCCUGGAGUCAUGACGGUACCGUCAGACUAAUCACCGGCUGACUCCGUGCCAGCCGCCGCGGUAAUACGUAGGGUGCAAGCGUUAAACGGAAUUACUGGGCGGAACGCGUGCGCAGGCGGUUUUGUAAAACAGAGGUGAAAUCCCCGGGCUCAACCUGGGAACGGACUUUGUGACUGCAAGGCUAGAGUACGGCAGAGGGGGGUGGAAUUCCGCGUGUAGCAGUGAAAUGCGUAGAUAUGCGGAGGAACACCGAUGGCGAAGGCAACCCCCUGGGCCUGUACUGACGCUCAUGCACGAAAGCGUGGGGAGCAAACA
rnacentral:rRNA from 1 species